UACCUGGCCUUGACAUGUCUGGAAUCCUGYAGAGAURCGGGAGUGCCUUCGGGAAUCAAACACAGGUGCUGCAUGGCUGUCGUCAGCCGUGUCGUGAGAUGUUGGGUUAAGUCCCGCAACGAGCGCAACCCCUGUCCUUUGUUGCCAGCACGUAAUGGUGGAACUCAAGGGAGACUGCCGGUGAUAACCGGAGGACGUGGGAUGACGUCAAGUCAUCAUGGCSCUUACGGCCAGGGCUACACACGUGCUACAAUGGCGCGUACMGAGGCUGCAGCUAKCGAUAGUGAGCGAAUCYCAAAAAGCGCGGUCGUAGUCCGGAUCGUAGUCUGC
rnacentral:rRNA from 1 species